GGGCCGUUAGCUCAGUUGGUAGAGCAGCUGACUCUUAAUCAGCGGGUCGCAGGUUCGAAUCCUGCACGGCUCACCA
rnacentral:tRNA from 9 species